rnacentral:rRNA from 1 species
CAGCAGUAAGGAAUCUUCCACAAUGGGCGAAAGCCUGAUGGAGCAACGCCGCGUGCAGGAUGAAGGCCCUCGGGUCGUAAACUGCUUUUAUGAGUGAAGGGUAUGACGGUAACUCAUGAAUAAGCACCGGCUAACUACGUG